rnacentral:rRNA from 1 species
UAGCUAGUUGGUGAGGUAACGGCUUACCAAGGCGACGAUCUGUAGCGGGUCUGAGAGGAUGAUCCGCCACACUGGAACUGAGACACGGUCCAGACUCCUACGGGAGGCAGCAGUGGGGAAUUUUGGACAAUGGGGGCAACCCUGAUCCAGCCAUGCCGCGUGAGUGAAGAAGGCCUUCGGGUUGUAAAGCUCUUUCGGCCGGGAAGAAAUCGCAUGGGCCAAUACCCUGUGUGGAUGACGGUACCGGAAUAAGAAGCACCGGCUAACUACGUGCCAGCAGCCGCGGUAAUACGUAGGGUGCGAGCGUUAAUCGGAAUUACUGGGCGUAAAGCGUGCGCAGGCGGUUUUGUAAGACAGGCGUGAAAUCCCCGGGCUCAACCUGGGAACUGCGUUUGUGACUGCAAGGCUAGAGUACGGCAGAGGGGGGGGGGAUUCCACGUGUAGCAGUGAAAUGCGUAGAGAUGUGGAGGAACACCAAUGGCGAAGGCAGCCCCCUGGGUCGAUACUGACGCUCAUGCACGAAAGCGUGGGUAGCAAACAGGAUUAGAUACCCUGGUAGUCCACGCCCUAAACUAUGUCAACUAGGUGUUGGGUGGGUAAAACCAUUUAGUACCGUAGCUAACGCGUGAAGUUGACCGCCUGGGGAGUACGGCCGCAAGGUUAAAACUCAAAGGAAUUGACGGGGACCCGCACAAGCGGUGGAUGAUGUGGAUUAAUUCGAUGCAACGCGAAAAACCUUACCUACCCUUGACAUGCCAGGAACUUGCCAGAGAUGGCUUGGUGCCCGAAAGGGAGCCUGGACACAGGUGCUGCAUGGCUGUCGUCAGCUCGUGUCGUAAGAUGUUGGGUUAAGUCCCGCAACGAGCGCAACCCUUGUCGUUAAUUGCCAUCAUUUAGUUGGGCACUUUAGCGAGACUGCCGGUGACAAACCGGAGGAAGGUGGGGAUGACGUCAAGUCCUCAUGGCCCUUAUGGGUAGGGCUUCACACGUCAUACAAUGGUCGGUACAAAGGGUCGCCAAGCCGCGAGGUGGAGCCAAUCCCAGAAAGCCGAUCGUAGUCCGGAUUGCAGGCUGCAACUCGCCUGCAUGAAGUCGGAAUCGCUAGUAAUCGUGGAUCAGCAUGUCACGGUGAAUACGUUCCCGGGUCUUGUACACACCGCCCGUCACACCAUGGGAGCGGGUUCCGCCAGAAGUAGGUAGCCUAACCGCAAGGAGGGCGCUUACCACGGCGGGGUUCGUGACUGGGGUGAAGUCGGAACAAGGUAGCCGUAGGGGAACCUGCGGCUG